rnacentral:lncRNA from 1 species
UGUCAAAUAACCGAUUAUCCCAAAACCUUAAGGUGUUAGGAUAGAGCCAUAUCAAUGGUUUUAUAUUAUUUCUAACACGCCCCCUCACGCAAGAGCCUACUUGGGCUUGAAGCGUGGAUAAUGUAUAGGCCCACCUACCAUAUGCUUAAAUUCCACUUUUUAAUUAGAAAGUGAGGGGAGCGGGGAUCGAACUCUAGACCACUUAGUCAUAGAGGCUCUGAUACCAUGU